UCCGUUUUAUAGCCGAUUCUGAAAGUUGACAUGUCUUAUGACAAAUACAUGUCUUGCGAUAGCACCCUAAGCUCGUAAAAAUUCUGGGCAGAGACUGCCCAAAAACAGGCAUAGGCCGUUUAGUUUCGAAAACAUUCAAACAAUUUCGACCAUCACCGAAUAAACUCGCACCACAUUUGUGCAUUGCAUUCUUCGAUAAAAUUGUCAUUACGCCUUAAAUAAUUAGUGGUCGAUGGAUUAAAUGUCAAUAAGGCAACCAUUUAAAUCAAUUCCAAGAAUGGACUCUUUAUUCUCUAGAAGGACAACGAGAUGUCAACAUUUGGUUCGGGUAGAUUCAAAAGAUUGCUGUAAUAACACAUAAUCGGAUGAAAAUGGGACAACAUUAAUUUUUUGCUAAAACAGCAAAUACUUUCUUCGUUUUCAGAUGGUACGUUUAAAAUGGCCACCAAAUCCGGACUUAUGGCCUUUUUGAGAUUUAAGGGCUAAAUCCUGUGUUUUUUGCCGUUUUUACCAUACAAAAAUAAAUCCCAUUUUUGCAGGAUUUAUUUUUUAACCCUAAAUAAACUCGAUUUCAUGGUUGAAUAAUCGACAACAGUACCAAAUAUGCAACUGUUUUCAAGAAUUGAGAUAUGCCCAUUCAUGUUUAUGCAUGUACGCUUGUGUAUGUCACGUAAAUCCCCAAAAACGCAGUCAAGAAUUGCCAAAAAAAAGAACAAAGAACAUUUUAUUAUGUUCGGCAGAGGCGAUCUUUGGAUACCCAUCACCAUGAAUAGAUAUAGUAUACCUUAUUUUUAAAACUCCACUAUAACCAUACUAACAUCUCACUAUGGACUGUUUGGAUCAUAUUUGGUUUAGAUGCCGAGAAC
rnacentral:sRNA from 1 species